rnacentral:sRNA from 1 species
UUGCAGCCCGCGUUAAGGAUUGAAGCGGCAUCCUUUUGCUUUUUUGCAAAAGAUAUAGCGUAAAGCCUGACGCACU